rnacentral:rRNA from 1 species
AGCGAACGCUGGCGGCAGGCCUAACACAUGCAAGUCGAACGAAGUCUUCGGACUUAGUGGCGGACGGGUGAGUAACACGUGGGAACGUAACUUUUGGUUCGGAACAACUCAGGGGAACUUGAGCUAAUACCGGAUGAGCCCUUAGGGGGAAAGAUUUAUCGCCGAAAGAGCGGCCCGCGUUAGAUUAGCUAGUUGGUGAGGUAAAGGCCCACCAAGGCUACGAUCUAUAGCUGGUCUGAGAGGAUGAUCAGCCACACUGGGACUGAGACACGGCCCAGAAUCCUACGGGAGGCAGCAGUGGGGAAUCUUGCGCAAUGGGCGAAAGCCUGACGCAGCCAUGCCGCGUGAAUGAUGAAGGUCUUAGGAUUGUAAAAUUCUUUUACCAGGGACGAUAAUGACGGUACCUGGAGAAAAAGCCCCGGCUAACUUCGUGCCAGCCGCCGCGGUAACAC